GGGGUUGUGGCUCAGCGGUAGAGUGCUCACCUCGCUUGUGUGAGACCCUGGGUUGGAUCCUCAGAGCCACA
rnacentral:tRNA from 1 species